GGGAACACUGCAGGAGAGCCCUGAGGACAUACAGGGACUCAACCUGACAGGAUUGUAGAAACAUAUCCCGUACUGGGACAUCACAUAUGAUUGAACACUCUUCAGCUUUUAAAAUUACAAGUAAUGAUUCCAAAAUUGAGUUGAGAAGGUCUGAGUUAUAAAGUAAUUAUAAGCAUAUUGAACAUGACAGCUAUAUCCAGAGCUCUCAGAAAAAUGACUCUCAGAACUACAAGGAGAAUUACAUGCUACUAGUCCUCCCAGAAGGUCGACCAAGCCUCACCUCAUUAUCGGCGUUCAAGUGCCGCAGCUACCGGGAACCCGGUUCUCGUGGCCUGGUGAGUGACAAGAAUUUUCUAUAAGACAGAAGGAGUUUAAACAGAGAUUCCGGGAUGAGCUUGGCAGGGAUAGUUUGGAGGCACAGGCAUCGUGUACUCUGAAGGCAAUUGUUGGCCCAGCACAUCCACUGAAUAACUGAGGAGAGAAAACACAAGCAGAACGACAAAUUGCUAAGUAUUUAGCUGUGCAUGGCAAUAUUCCCAUUGAUCUGAAGAUCCAUUCAUCUGGAAUGCACUAUAUGCAUGUAGAUGAACCAACGCCAUGUUUUCCAUUGAUCUAUAGUUUUCUUAUCAAAAUGUUUGUGCUUCAUAUAAUGUUUUAAACAAUCUGUUCUAACUUUCCUUCAUUACUUUUCUGAAACCCUGAUAGAGUUACCUACCAUAAAAAAAAUCAACUAAUAA